GCGCAACUCUCAACAGCAGCAGCACGACAUAGAGAAACAAUUCCCAUCCUUCAUAAAAUAAAUCCAUAAGGGUGUCUUUCUUUUCUUCUAUGGAAAAAACAAAAAUAUGCAAAGAAAGCCGCCACGCACAUAUACUUCUGGAAACCAAUCCAUGGCGCAAGACGGCGUCAAUUUGUGUAACAAACACAUCUGGGAAGUGGGAACAACCUACAGCAAUCCUGAAGCAUCUUAGCAAGAUACAGACAGGCCUUGAGAGGGGUUCAGGCCUGAGUGACACCUACCGAGUUCAGAAAAUGAGCGAAAGCGCACUACGAGCAGGACCAGAGUGACACUGCAACAGCAACAUGCUUCGGCUGCAACCAAGCACGACACCCAGAAGUUUACAUACGAGUUCAUAUGAACAUGGGACACGGGCAUGAGCACGGAAGGCGAGAUCCUGGUCUGGUAUACAAAACGCAGCAACUUCCAGGUGCGAUCCGGGGACAUAGAGAGCGGAUAACGAAUGAUGAGGUAGACCAGAUGAUCUGGAAGCCUGCACAAGCAACACGGGACACACGAUGAGAACAUGGAAGAAAUGCAGGGGAUACUACAGGAGGAGAUUCACUUGGAUGGUACUCCCUCCGUUCGAAAAUACUUGUCAUCAAAAUGGAUAAAAAAAGAUGUAUAUAAAACUAAAAUAUUUCCCUUUUAUCCAUUUUGAGGACAAGUAUUUCCGGACGGAGAGAGUAUUGGAUUAGCAUGCUACUUUCAUCGCCAAAAAAAAAAACAUGCCACUUGAUCUAGUUAUUAGAAUGCUGGUAGUACUUUUUUUUUACAUGAAACUGAACACAAGGUUUAACUUGUUAAUUGACAAGUGGCGUCUUUGGACCAUUUACUCGAUAUUCAGACAAAAAAAAAAUAGCAACUCACUGAAACUGCCCAAUCAAAUUACAAUGAUGAAAUGGACGGACCCCUACACGAGUCUUCCUACCUUCGGCGCUGUCUGCAUUUAGCACACAUCCCCUACUCUGAUUAAUCAAGCAUUUGACUCCUACUUCAUACUUUCUGUUGCAUAAUUGUACGUGGAGCCAGGGGUGAAAUGCAUGGUGUCAUGGUGGGCCAAAGGGUGUAGAAACAGCGCAAGAAGGUCUAGUAUGGAAUGCUGCUUGGUAUGUACAAUGCCGACUAUCAAAGAUAUAAUCGUGAUCAAAGAAUGGUCUGGUUACUUACAUUCGAACAACAGAAGAGAG
rnacentral:lncRNA from 1 species